GAAAGUUUAUUGAUUCGGAUACCAUCAGAGAGCAAGAUAGGCCUGCCAAGAUACUUGAGGCCUACCCUUGCUUCCGGGAUCUUGACCAUAUCAUAGACGAGUUUCGUCGAAUUGUUUAAAUGGACAACAUUGACUUCUUCAAAGACUUGAGAGAUGGAUGGGAUUCAUUCUACAGUAAGGUCCAAUACUAUGGAGUGGUGAAGUGUGUAAUGAAGCCCCCCCCUGACUAUGGACGGCGUUGAACAUGCCAUCGCCGUCUUCACCGCUUUACCACAGCUCUUUCCCUCACAGUCAAAGGCACGCAGCCAAAUCGAGGCAAUUUUCCACGUUUUAACACCCUCAGAGAACCCGGACACUUUCCUGCGCACUCAAAGCAUAUCCAGUUGUCCUGUUAGGAGAAGAAAACUGCCUUCUCGCCGUUG